UACACACCGCCCGUCACACCAUGGAGUCAGUAACGCCCGAAGUCAGUGACCGAACCGAAAGGACGGAGCUGCCGAAGGCGGGACGGAUAACUGGGUGAAGUCGUAACAAGGUAUC
rnacentral:rRNA from 1 species